CUUUAUUUGGAGCCUUUUAAGGUCCUGAAUGAGGCUUUUUGGGAAAUAUGGAUGGGGCCACAUUUACAUGCUCUACAAUAGACAGGAACAGCACAGUCAAUCAUGUCUACAAAUGUUGGAAACAAAAUUACUGGGCUGUGUUAAAACAGAAGUUAAUGGUUGGGCUGAUUUCUAUUAAGAAGUCACCGCUCAGGGAGAAGCUGGCAAAGGCUGAAGUGGCAUCCGGUGUGGUGGACAGAGGGAGGGGAGAAAGAGCGAGGAAGAGGAGACGAUGCUGCAGAUGAUGCAUCCCCCUCUGGACUGCAUCCUUUCUGGCUGAGUGCGUCCAGUGGGCCAGAGCCAGGUCCUGGAAUCUAGCUAAUGAGACAUACCCCCCCCCGAGGGCCCCGUGUCGUCCUAUUGGUCGAGAGGUUGGCGGCGACCGAGAUGAUUGGCUGAUGAAGUCCUGUGCAAGCAGCUGUCAGAUGGCCUCCUUGGAGCUGUGAGGAGCAAGUUCAGCUGAAGGUCAAGAUGCUAGAAGGGGGGAUAAUGAACAUUUCUGGUCAUAAGUGAGCGUCUUCUGAUCAGCUCAUGGUGGCAGAUGCCUGAAGGCUGGAGAAGGAAGAGGGAUUAUAUGGAAGGAGCAGUUUCAGGUUUAUCUCGAUUAUCCUUAUGAAAGUUUGAUGGGCAGGCAGAAGGCGGGAGUUACAGCUUUGGAUGGAGAUCCAAAGACCAAGAGGCUUUUCUUCUAGAAGAAAACAGUGUCCAGAUGACUACGACUGAAACCCUUUCUACGAUAGAACACUCCUGGACGAAUGAGGAACUACACUGUCUUCUAGAAGAAAGGUCCAAUGUCCAACUACACACAGUUCAUGACUUGAAUUACAGCCUUCCAAGUAAGAUUGAAGACGUUCUGUGGGCAAAACAGUGACCUUAGUCCUUAUUAUUCAUUUUUGUUAGGUUGUUUCUAUU